AAAAAGCAAACUCUAGAUUUUCGUGUCCAACGUUUGACUGUCCAUCUUAUAUAAAAAAAAUUAAAAAGAUAAGUUAUGCAUAAAGUAUUAAUCAUAUUUUAUCAUCUAACAACAAUGAAAAUACUAAUUAUAAAAAAUUUCAUAUAAGACGGACGGUCAAACGUUAAACACGAAAACUCAGUGUUUGUUUUUUU
rnacentral:pre_miRNA from 1 species